CCCGGUUCUUUGCUCGGGUGCCCUCUCUAACUGACCCUUUACCCGCCCCUUGCUUUGGAACCUUUUUGAUCUCCGUCUCAGUAUCUUCUAACAUCCCUGCUACCGAUGCCUUACUGCCCGACUCAGGCCAGCCUUGACCCUCCGGAUCUCUCCCUCAAGCCCUGGAGACCCCCUGCCCCGGGCUCUUCUAACGGUCACCGCUUCGCUGGUCACUCCCGCCCCGAGACAGCCUCUCACUCUCCGGCCCGUUUUCCUUUCAGUACCCUGGUCAUUUUAGCGCAGCCCCUGUGCCCAGUGAACCCUGCGACAGGGGAGGGAGACCCGAAGAGCAAGGGCCCGGAUGGCUUCCCAGUCCCCCUUGCUUGGUGUCGGGGAGUGGAUUCGAGGCAUGGCUCUCUGUUUUGGAACCUGUAUUUUUUCGUUUAGAAGAGCAAUGAUUUGCUUCUUUUUUUUUUUUAACCUGAACCCACUGGACAUAGCUUAAGAGCGUGUUGUAAGCUUUCAAGAUAAAGCUUAUUGGCCAA